GACCGCGUAGCUCAGUUGGCAGAGCAUUGGGCUAGUAUUCCAAAGGUCGUAGGUUCAAUUCCCACCGUGGCCG
rnacentral:tRNA from 1 species